AAGAACCUCUACGAUAGUGACCCUUUUUGUCAAAAAAAAGGGAACUUGAAUAAGAGGCCCGACUCUGAGGUGCCUGACGCAUUUCCAACCCGCUAUAAUUAGACGCCGCAGCCGGUUGGGUAGCUGCGCGUGUCGGCCAUGAGGUAGGGCAGUGGCAGUAGACCGUUUCUCGCUAAAAAGUGGCGUUUGCCGGAUCGUUUAGCCAGCCCUACCGUGGCGCGACACCCGACCGAGGAUAAAGGGGUCAGAGAUGGCCCCGCCGUCCCUUCAUUAUUUCUGUAUAACACUAAAAUAAAGAGCGGACCGGCGGACAGGCGAGUUGCUGCGCUAUACUGCUCUAGUCCUCGAACUGGGUAGUGCGUGGUAGCCGUUGGUGGUCCGCGUCGGUUAAACCGCAAUGGGAAAUCUCGAAUUAAAAGAUGGCUUGUGGCGAGUAGGUCGGUCACCCACCCGACCCGUCUUGAAACACGGACCAAGGAGUCUAACAUGUGCGCAAGUCAUGGGGUCUUGUUUAGGCCCAGAGGCGUAAUGAAAGUGAGACAUAGCUUCUUCUUCUUCUUAGAGGAUUAUUAAGUUGGGAUUUCCCGAGGAGUUGGAAGCCCGGGAAAGCACCAACGACCCGCCCUAGUACUAUGAUUUAAUUAUAAAGUGUGGACGGCGUUAGAGCGCACACGUUGGGACCCGAAAGAUGGUGAACUAUGCCUGGGCAGGACGAAGCCAGAGGAAACUCUGGUGGAGGUCCGCAGCG
rnacentral:rRNA from 1 species